CCUACGGGUGGCAGCAGUGAGGAAUAUUGGUCAAUGGACGAGAGUCUGAACCAGCCAAGUAGCGUGAAGGAUGACUGCCCUAUGGGUUGUAAACUUCUUUUAUAUGGGAAUAAAAUGUUCCACGUGUGGGAUUUUGUAUGUACCAUAUGAAUAAGGAUCGGCUAACUCCGUGCCAGCAGCCGCGGUAAUACGGAGGAUCCGAGCGUUAUCCGGAUUUAUUGGGUUUAAAGGGAGCGUAGGUGGACUGUUAAGUCAGUUGUGAAAGUUUGCGGCUCAACCGUAAAAUUGCAGUUGAAACUGGCAGUCUUGAGUACAGUAGAGGUGGGCGGAAUGCGUGGUGUAGCGGUGAAAUGCUUAGAUAUCACGAAGAACUCCGAUUGCGAAGGCAGUUCACUGGACUGCAACUGACGCUGAGGCUCGAAAGUGUGGGUAUCAAACAGGAUUAGAUACCCUGGUAGUC
rnacentral:rRNA from 1 species